AAUUAUUGAAAUAGAUUAAGAAAGCCACCGCUACGGUGAUUUCUAAUGGUAGAUUGAUUUGUUUAGAUCCAGUGAAAUUGCUGCCUUGGCAACGCUACGUCAUGGCUUCGGGACUCUAUAGCAGAGUGAGAGGAGGGUAGAGGGAUAGAGUGUUGAGUGAAGACUACUGCAUGAGAAAGAGAAGAGCACGAAAGAAGAAAAAGAAAAGAUGACAGCUGGCUACAGUGGUCAGAAUGUUGAAGCCUGCUCUACCUGCAUCUCUGGAACUCUGGGAUAUGGAGUCCUGAAAGACUCAGAAACUGGUGUCCAGCCUGCCUCUGUAGCUGAAGAAAUGGCAAGACUCAAAUGAAUAAAACUCAAAGACGUUUGUUUGCGUUUAGAACUGUUCUGGCGUCGAUGGCAACCAAUGAGAACAAGUGCCAAAAAUGAAAAAACACCUUCUAGACAAACAAAGACAAAACCAUUAAGACACCUUAAGGGUGCUCUUUGGCUCCUGAGACUGAUGGACACACUGCUCGAGCCAAUCGUGGGAGAGUAUGGACAUGACUGCCACGUUGAGGAGCCAAUGGUAUUGGCCGAGCCCAGUGAAAUCUGGACGGCACAAGAACUGAACUGGAUUCAGUUGAAAGCUGAGCAGGGGAAGCCCGAAGAUGGCCCUUGAAUAUAAUGUAGUGUCUGGAUGUAUUUGCAGAAGUGCCUAUUUGUUUGUCAACAGCCUCAUCUUUAGCUAUCCCUGCAGCAUAGCUUCAAAGUAGAACGUGAUAGUGGCUGAUGUGGUGGUCUGUUCUCUCGUGUGUGUGUGUGUGUGUGUGUGUGUGUGUGUGUGUGUGUGUGUGUGUGGUGCGUGCGUGUCUGUAUGUAUGUUUGUAAAUGUUUAUUUUUUAAAUAGAAACACCACCUCAGAUGAAAAAUAUUGCAGUCCAUUCUGUAGUGUUUAUUGUAAAUAAUAUGUGAUGAUGAGUGAAUGAAAGUCAAUGCAACCAGCUAGCCUUACUGCACAUCUGAGCUGUAUUAGAUUAGAUGGACUAGUCUACGGUCCUCUCUCACACCCAGUACACACGUGCUAUACACACAGGGAUGAGCAAAAAAUACAUUAAAAUGUAUUUUCAUAUAAGAUACAAAUAUUUACUUACAGCAACCACAAAAUCAACUAAAGUAUUUUGUAUGUAAAAAUACAAAAAUAUAUUUCCAUGGCAACAUGAUCUCCUAUUUGGUCAUGUUUGACAGCUUUUCACUGUUUAUCAAGAUACAUUACUAAUCUAUUUUGAGAUCCAUCAUAUCAAAAUAGGGAGUAUUCAAGCCAGCCAUGUUCUCAACAAGGCAAAGACAUGCAUAGAAUUUCAUGUCAUCCAAUCAGAGAGAAACAGAAGCUUUUCUAUGCACCCACGCUUUCAAACGAUCAAGUGUCUGCUUCCUUAGCAGACAGACAUUGAUCUUUCACCUGCCACGUGUCUUGCAAGCAUGAGCAAAGUGCUCAGUACGAAUUAUAUUUCCCAAAGAUGCAUGCAGUCGAAUAUGUCACUUUGUAUGUACAAAUACAUGUUGUAAUACAAAUGAUAAAAUACC